CGGAAUCCACGACCUUGACCCGACAAUAUCUCCCUUUUGCGGCCACCCUUUCGGUCGCACUUGGUACCAAUCUGAAGCUUAGAAGCCAACCGUCGUUCCCCUGCCAUCCUCGCCACCGAAAACCAACCGGAACGCCAGUGAUCAAAGCUUGAACCUGCGACUGUUUCACUUUACUCCCGCCGGGAUUUUCGCCGGUUUUGGGUGACACCACCGGUUGGAUCUUGUUCCCCACGACUCCCUCUUCCAUUUCCGACCAUCUAUAGGCACCGAGAGUCACUGUUUUGCCGCCGGUCGAUUGUUGGAAUUCACGGCUGCCGAGCUCGAUUCCGGCGCCGUUGCCGCGCGUUGGAGCUCACCGCCGGUACCAUUGAACUCAGCGUGAUUGGAACUUUCAGAUUUGAGCUUCCUAGCCAGCGUUGACCAAAUUCCGGUGACCGUUGACCGUUGACCAAGAUAUAGAUGCUUCUGUUAGGAUAUUUUGGUCAUCUUGUUCUUUUGUGAUUGUAAACUUUUGUUAUAUUAUUCUUUUGGGAUUAUAAUAUUAUCUUUUGUAAUUCUGGAGAUAUAAAACUCAGCAUUUUGGUUGAGGAUGUUGAUCACUGGAGUUUGUUGUAUAUUAAAUUGUAUUGGGAGUGGUAUAUUCAUAUUUAUAUAUUGGGAGUGUUAUAUAUAUAAAGGAGAUUCCGCUGAAUUUUCGGCAGAAUCUUUACUCAUAAAAUUUUUAUCAAGUCCGUUUUGAUAAGACUAGAUAAACUCACUUGGGAGGGAGAUUCGGACGAGUCGUUUCAAUAGCUCAAUGCCAAAUAGAACCUUAAGGUCUUGCUUCAAUUUAUCUUGCAAUGGGGGAGC
rnacentral:lncRNA from 1 species